rnacentral:lncRNA from 1 species
GACCUUAAACCUCAUUCUAAAUCAAAAUUCUUUCUUAAUCAAACUCAAACCUCUUCCCACUUCCUAUUCCAACUAAUUGAACUUGAACAUUAUCCAAGAAAUUCUUUUUCCACUCAAUCUUCCCUAAUCUAAUCCCUUACCCAAUCAACCUUUACCCUAAUUUAAUCCUUAUAUUACCCCAAUUCAAAAUUCCAUUCCCACACCAAGGUAUCUUUCUCCAUCACGAGCUACGAGGUAUAUCUCAUUCGUUCUCCAAGAAUCAAGGUUAGGGUUCAUCAAUACUUGGGCAUUAAUUGCAUCAAUUGAGGUAACAUAUUAGAGAUUAUUGUGAGUUUCAUUCGCAAAGCAUCUUUAGUUGUUUUCUCUUGUUGCUUCAAGUAUAUACUGUGUUGGUUGAUUAAUUGGGUUUGUGUUGCCCCAAUUGAUAUUUUUUGGGUAAUUUAUUGAUUGGGUAUAUUAGUGUUACCGAAAGAACAAAUUUUGGGGGUAAGUUUAAAAGUACUUGUUAGGUGUUCGACGAAUUGCCAAGGAAAAGUCUUACUUAUGUGUUGGGGGAACAUUUAUUAUUAUGCUUUGCUAUUGUGUUUAUGAGUAACCAAGAUGGCUUCAAAGAGACAGAGGAGUAAUAAUUCGCGCACUAGGUAAACCAUUAAUCAGUCUAUGUUUGUAAGUGCGGAUGUAAAGGAAAGAUUCAACACUAUGCUAGCAAGGAAAACAUUAAUUUUAAAACGAGGACUAAGGUCGAAUGCUAACUUAGACGGGGCUAUGGUGGAGAUGAUUGUGGAGAGGAAUUGGUUCAAGUUAGUGGAACAAUUGGGGUCUGCGGUGAUUAUAAUUGUAAAAGAGUUCUACGCCAAUGCGAUAGACUAGGUUGGUCAUGUGGUGUAAGUAAGGGGGAAACUAGUGGCGUUUGAUGGUGACUCGAUCAAUGCCUACUACAGGUUGGAAACACCUAGUCUUGGCAAUUAGUACGAGGACUUUCUCCCGGGUUUGGAUGGUAUGAUGCAGAGUUUAUGUAAGUCAGGCACACAGUGGGCGAUGAAAGUUAGUACAUAUGAGAAAAUCAGCUUCCCACAUUCGGCACUAAGUCGUUAUGGCGAAGCAUGAUAUGCAUUCAUUUGCGCGAAGUUAAUUCCUACGUGCCACCAGAAUGAUGUUACCAAAGAGAUGGAGAGACAGAAUAUGCUUCUCGCUCAACAUCAUGUGGCAAUGUUUAAUUACAGUAUUGGUUCUUUCAUGGCGUUGUCGGAUUCUUUCUCCUGAUUUAGUCCAAAUACCGAUCUAGUUCAACUGCCUACUCCACCUGUCCUCCCUGCAUAUCCCACUUUGGACGAUAAGGAUGAAGAUGAUGAAUAUAGCGAUGAUUAACUCGCUAUUCAGGGAAGUCCUCUGUGUAAUGACACCAAAAUAUGGACUAUUCUAUAAUCUCAAUCUUGUGCGUUAAACACUAUCUUAAUUUAGCUUCGUCGGCGUGGUCGAACAUAUCGUGGCAUUUGACAACGUUUAGAGUGAUGACAUCGCGGAGGAUCUCAAUUUUGUGGCAGAUCUAGCGACUUACGGAGUCUCCGUGGUUACCAUUGUUGCUUUCGAUUUGGUUCAUCGGUGAGCUCAAAGAAGUUUAAGGGUGGGGCAGACAGGAGGGAGGAGGUGGUAUAUGAAGAUGGGGCAGAGUUGGGCGGGAGAGGGAGGGGUACAACUAAAGAAGGAUUGUGGUCGGGGAAGGGGAGGGUUAGGCCAGGACGUCACCGUGGACAGUUGAGAUUGACUAUAGAAGCGGGGGCAAAAGGUUGGUAGUUUCAUCAAUAGAAGGUUGAAUUUUGUUUUUCCCUCUAAUAUGUAUGUAUGAUUACUAUUUUGCCCUUUUUGAAAGUUUAAAAUUAUAAAAUUAAGUGAAAAUAAUUUAUUUUUGCACAUCAGCAUUUGGAUGCCACGUGUUAAAGUCAUGUCAUAAAUUUGUGACGUGACAUUUAUUUGAAUCAAAGUGGAAAAAAUUAGAAGUUUAAUGUCUUGAUUAUAAAAAUUAAAAAGGCGAUCCUUAAAGUAAAAAAAAAGGUAAAGAGUUCAUGAUACUAAUUUAUAUUUAAGCAUUUAUUUAAGGAGGGUGUAUUCAAUAAAGACUUUUAAAUACUUUUUUUAAGUUACAGACUUUUGUAAAGUUUGUGAAUUUUAAUGACUUUUAAAGACUUUUAAAAUUACCCUUAAAGAUUCCAUGAAAUAAGUGAAAGACUUUUAUGAACUUUUUACCAAGAGUUUAAUAAACUUUUGUAUACUUCUAAUAUUUUUUGCACCUUAUAUUAAUUUUUAAAAGACAACAAAGAUCUUAUAUUUUAGAUGAAAUGAGUGCGAUAUUAAAUAAUAUUAAAAUAUUUUGAUCAUGUCACAACCUAAUUUGAAAUAAAAGGCAUUAUUGAAUUUGAAUUAUUAGAUCAUACCCAGUCUAUUACAAAAAAAAAUAUCAUAUUUCAUAAUUUUUAUGUUUCAUAAAAAAAGUAAUUUUCUACUAACAAUAAUAUAAAAUAAAAAUUUUGAUUUUAAAAUUGUUCAUUGUUGUUUUCCUAUCAAGUCAUUAUUACUAAACUAACAAUUUGUAAUUUUCAAAAAUUAACAAAUUUAUUACUUUUGUAAGACCCCAACUUUUUAUAAAUAAAAUUGAAUUUCCUCUAUUCAUUAUCUUGAAAUAAUAAGGAGUUAAUUUGAUAUAAUGCUUUAGUUAUGGGUGAAAUGUGCAAAUUUUGUAAAAUAAGCAAGUGGUUAUAAAAUAUUCAUUGUUGUCGGGGAAUAUUCGUUUGGUCGUGAAAUAUUCUUGUUGUCGGGGAAUAUUCGUACUACGGUGCAGCCAUUUGUGGGCCCCAUAACAGAAAACGGUCGGAUAAAGAAAAUGACAAGUUUGAGUUUUUAUAAAUAACGGCAUAAUUGUUACUGUUAACACUAUUGGAAUACCCGGUGGUUAAAGUACAGUAAUACGCGUGGUUGCACAGUAGCACACGGUAUUGCACAGUAUUGUUGGAUUAUUGAUUCUUACGUAAAAAGGCGCUACUCAAUAAUUAUUACAGUACUUACUGUUCAAUAUUUUAUUUUAUUGAUUCAAUAAUUGUUGCGUUGAUAUUUUAUAUUAUUGUUAUUUCAAUAAUUGUCACUGCACAGUAUUUCCAUUAUCAGAUCAAUAAUUUAUAUUAUUUGAAUAAUAUUAUUAGAUAGCAUUAUUGACAAUGUCUAAGGAAAGGGGUUUGGUCAUCUAAUUGCGCGCCAGUAGAAGAAAUUCUUAUCGGAAAGCCCCCUCUUUCCUGGGAACGACCUGGUUGUCAUAAUUGUGAUUCUGUAAUAUUAUUUAUGAAUAAUUAAUUAUUGAUUUUUAUGAUAAGAAAAUAUUUAUUUUGUGUGGAUAUAAAUGAAGUAUUAAUGCUGAGGUAUUUUAUCAGUAUUUUGUCGGAAUGGAGGUAUUAAAAAUCAUCCGUAUGUGGAUUUCGAACAUUUUCUGUUUGAAAUUUGGAAAAACUUCCUUCUACAAAGUUGUAGUGAAUUAAAUUUCAUAUAGAAUAGACAUGAGAUUCGAAUUUUUCUGAUAAAAUGGCUAUUUAUUAUGAAUUAUUUAAGUUUUAGAAAUUAAUGUUUUUAUUAAAAAAUAUGGUGGGCCCCACUUUUGGUUGGUGUGAAAUUGACUGAUUUAGGUGGGCCCCACUGUGGUGUACUAAAAUUUGAUCAAAAGUGGCAUACAGGAAAUUUUAUAUAAAAUAUAAUAUUUUAUUAAUUUAGUCUCCUUUGGCGUUCUAGCAUUUUCCUAUAAAUAGGAUGCUUAGUUAGAAUUGAAAAUCACACCAGAAUCAUAAGUUUUCUCUCUCUAUAUUAUCGAGCGUAUUUUGUGAGUAUUUAGAUUCUUUGAGAGUUGUUAUUCAGUGCAAGUUUCCUACAGCCUUAUAUCCGAUAUUCCAGUCAGAAGUACUGUUCUUUUGAGGUAAGAGAUGUUAUUUUCUUCGUAAAUGAUAUUAUUUCUUUCAAUAUCAUUAUGCUGAAAUAUAGGUAUAAAUUUUAUUGUGGAAUUUCUACCUUUUGUGUCAGAAUUACUAUUCACGUAUACGAUACUAUUCACGUAUACGGUACUAUUCACGAAUACGAUACUAUUCACCGAAAAAUAAAAUUUUCUCUUCUUUGUCCAAGAUUUCUAUUAUGGUUACUAUCUUUGAUUGUAUCCAUGUUUUGAUCUUCAUUCUUGAAUUCUACUCCACUACGGUUUAUUAUGGAGUGUUUUCGAACUUGGAUUAUCUAAAGUACGAAUCCAUAAUCUUUGUUCUUUUGUCUCACUAGAUUCAUUUUUUAAAAAUAUUUUUCAUCAUCCUCAGUCCUAAAUGAUGAUAUAACUGAAUAUAUAUCUUUGGCCUGUAGUGCAAAGAUAAAUGAUUACCUAAUGAAUAUCUUUGGCCCGUAAUGCAAAGAUGAACAGGUGUUGAGAUGAACAUGACCAACUGGUAAUACAAAUGAAUAUCUUUGGCCCGUAGUGCAAAGAUGAAUAUUUGAUUCAAGAUGUAUAUUGAUUGAUGUUACAGGGAUAAAAUAUUGAUGAUGGACUUUUAAAUUCAUAAAUGAUAGUAGAUUUCAUUCUCUACUUAACUCUAUUGAUGAAUUGUUAUUUCUGCUGUGAAUAUUGAUCUAAAACUUGUUGUCCAUUAUAUUUUAUCUGAUUUGUUGAAGGCUAACAAUAAUUUGUUGUUCAUUAUCUUAGUCAUAAUAUUCUUUACUGAGCUAUUUGAGCUCACCCUUUUCCUUUUUGUUCCAUUUUUCUUUUCAGGAGAUGAGAAUUUAGCAGGAACUAGCCGGGGUAUGGAGUGAUGGUUCAAGAUAGUUGUAUUAGCACUCCUCACUAUUAUGUAAAAUAGUGCAUCAAUAAUUGUAAUGAGGACUUUAUCUGAGUGUGGAUAUUGUCUAGAAGAUAAUAUUUUUAUUUAAACUCACAG